rnacentral:rRNA from 1 species
UCGGGAAUAAUUCACAAUGGGGGCAACCCUGAUGGUGCAACGCCGCGUGGAGGAUGACGGUCUUCGGAUUGUAAACUCCUGUCAUCCGGGAGUAAGACCUGGGAGUUAAAAGCUCACAGGGUUGAUAGUACCGGAAGAGGAAGGGACGGCUAACUUCGUGCCAGCAGCCGCGGUAAUACGAAGGUCCCGAGCGUUGUUCGGAAUCACUGGGCGUAAAGGGAGCGUAGGCUGCGCGGUAAGUCAGAUGUGAAAUCCCGGGGCUCAACCCCGGAACCGCAUCCGAUACUGCCGCGCUUAGAGGAUUGGAGAGGUAGCUGGAAUUCUUGGUGUAGCAGUGAAAUGCGUGGAUAUCAAGAGGAACACUCGUGGCGAAAGCGAGCUACUGGACAACUCCUGACGCUGAGGCUCGAAGGCCAGGGUAGCGAAAGGG